rnacentral:rRNA from 1 species
GACGAACGCUGGCGGCGUGCUUAACACAUGCAAGUCGAACGGAAAGGCCCUGCUUUUGUGGGGUGCUCGAGUGGCGAACGGGUGAGUAACACGUGAGUAACCUGCCCUUGACUUUGGGAUAACUUCAGGAAACUGGGGCUAAUACCGGAUAUGAGCUCCUGCUGCAUGGUGGGGGUUGGAAAGUUUCGGCGGUUGGGGCUGGACUCGCGGCUUAUCAGCUUGUUGGGGGGGUAGUGGCGUACCAAGGCUUUGACGGGUAGCCGGCUUGGGAGGGUGACCGGCCACAUUGGGACUGAGAUACGGACCAGAAUCCUAUGGGCGGCAGCAGUGGGGAAUAUUGCAGAAUGGGCGGAAGCCUGAUGCAGCAACGCCGCGUGCGGGAUGACGGCCUUCGGGUUGUAAACCGCUUUCGACUGUGACGAAGCGUGAGUGACGGUAAUGGGUAAAGAAGCACCGGCUAACUACGUG